rnacentral:rRNA from 1 species
AUUGAACGCUGGCGGCAUGCCUAACACAUGCACGUAGAUCGAGUGUCGUACGGGUGAGUAAUUUCUGGUAAACUCCCCGAUGGAGGGGUAAAACGCCUGUGAACGGUAGCUAAUACCGCAUACCAUCAGAUGUGCCCAGAUGGGAUUAGCUAGUAGGUUGGGUAACGGCUCACCUAGGCGACGAUCCCUAGCUGGUCUGAGAGGAUGACCAGACACACUGGAAUUGAGACACGGUCCAGACUCCGACGUGAGGCAGCAGUGGGGAAUAUUGCACUAUGGGCGCAAGCCUGAUGCAGCCAUGGCGCGUGUACGAAGAAGGCCUUCGGGUUGUAAAGUACUUUCAGCGAGGAGGCGUUACGCGCAGAAGAAGCCCCGGCUAACUCCGUGCCAGCAGCCGCGGUAAUUC